UCUGUACUUCCUCUGUCCGAAAAUACUUGUCAUCAAAAUAGAUAAAAAGAAAUGUAUGUAGAACUAAAAUAUGUCUAGAUACAUCUCCUUUUAUUCAUUUUGAUGACAAAUUUUUUUGAACGGAGGGAGUACUUC
rfam:Triticum aestivum genome assembly, contig: Triticum_aestivum_CS42_TGACv1_scaffold_224373_3B